rnacentral:rRNA from 1 species
ACGACUGCUAAUACCGCAUACGAUCUGACCUCAGCAUCGAGGAUGGAUGAAAGGUGGCCUCUAUUUAUAAGCUAUCACUGAAGGAGGGGAUUGCGUCUGAUUAGCUAGUUGGAGGGGUAACGGCCCACCAAGGCGAUGAUCAGUAGCCGGUCUGAGAGGAUGAACGGCCACAUUGGGACUGAGACACGGCCCAGACUCCUACGGGAGGCAGCAGUGGGGAAUCUUCCGCAAUGGACGAAAGUCUGACGGAGCAACGCCGCGUGAGUGAUGACGGCCUUCGGGUUGUAAAGCUCUGUUAAUCGGGACGAAAGGCCUUCUUGCGAAUAGUUAGAAGGAUUGACGGUACCGGAAUAGAAAGCCACGGCUAACUACGUGCCAGCAGCCGCGGUAAUACGUAGGUGGCAAGCGUUGUCCGGAAUUAUUGGGCGUAAAGCGCGCGCAGGCGGAUUGGUCAGUCUGUCUUAAAAGUUCGGGGCUUAACCCCGUGAUGGGAUGGAAACUGCCAAUCUAGAGUAUCGGAGAGGAAAGUGGAAUUCCUAGUGUAGCGGUGAAAUGCGUAGAUAUUAGGAAGAACACCAGUGGCGAAGGCGACUUUCUGGACGAAAACUGACGCUGAGGCGCGAAAGCCAGGGGAGCGAACGGGAUUAGAUACCCCGGUAGUCCUGGCC